CAGGGAACAUCCUGGGAGGAUCCUUGGAGCUGGAACUUGUGGCGGUCAUCUGCCUCUUGUGUAAGUGCGUUUCCCCGAAUAAACUUCACUUGAGUCUAGGGAAUCAUGAUUCCCACGCAAUAGACAAUGUCUUACUGCCUUGUUCUUUCGCUCCCUGACUUGACACUUAAUCUGCAGACUCCUCUCUGUUGGUGGCCCUCAUGUUUUCUGUCUCCAUAGCACAUGAUUAUUUCCAGUUGGUAGGACUUUUCUGGAUUUUGACCCCAAUUUUAGUAUACUUUCACUAAUUUUUCUUUGUUUCUUCUGCGUUUAAAAGAUUUAAAGUGCUUCCUCCGAGUAUCCCCCACCCCACAUGAACCAAUAUCCGAUUUCUUUCCUGUCAAUUGGCAAGAUGGCUGGAAACUGGGCAUAUAACUGUGCAUCUCUGAUUUAAAAACAGGUUUGCUCCUUUAGUGGCUUGACGUUUUUUCCUUUCCUUUUUAGUGGUCUGCUUAGUGAAGCUGCUUGUAUGAGGCCUGCUGUACACAGAAGGCCCAUCUCCAGGCAAGAAUCAGGAAGUCAAUGAAGAAUUGAGGAGAGAUGCCAACUGCCCAGGUUGAUCUUGGAAUCAUUUCUGAGUGGAUUGAGAGUUCCUAAUACAGAAAUAAAGAAAUACCAAGGCA